rnacentral:rRNA from 1 species
UACGUAGGGGGCAAGCGUUGUCCGGAUUUAUUGGGCGUAAAGCGCUCGCAGGUGGUUCAUUGCGUCGUGCGUGAAAGACCCCGGCUCAACUGGGGAGGGUCGUGCGAAACGGGUGAACUAGAGGCCAGUAGGGGGAUGCGGAAUUCCGGGUGUAGUGGUGGAAUGCGUAGAGAUCCGGAGGAACACCAGCGGCGAAGGCGGUUACCUGGAGCUUUGCUGACGCUGAUGCGCGAAAGCGUGGGGAGCGAUCCGG